UGAAAUUUUGAAAACAAGAUUUUCUCACUGUUAAAAUUUUUUAAAAAUUUAUUUCCAAUUAUUCUUUCUCUUUUUUCUUCCCGUAGCCACAACCAAGAUUUCUCAAGCAUCCAUGGUGGCUUCUGAGCUCUCUUCAACCUUUCUUUAGGGUAUUGGAGGCAUUGAAGGACAUAGGACAGAAAUUGACUAUUGAUCGUGAUUGGGGGAUCUAGCUAGGCAGCUGUUAACAAGUCUGUUAAAAGAUUUAGAAAGAAAAAUUGUAAGUUUUAUGAGAAAUUAUGCACUAUCUUUGGUGAUACUACUGCAACUAGUUCCAAUGCUCAUCUUUCAACUCGAAGUCCUUCUAUUGAUGGAGAUAAUGAUGAUGAUGAUGAUGCAACGUCGAUAAGUCUUACUAGGAAUGAAGAAAGUGGUUUUGAUGAGGAUGGUAGCAAAAGAAGAGGUAAAUCAACAACCACUUCAAACUCUCUCGAUCAAUAAAAUGAACAAAAUUCUUAUCAGCUUUGGCAAAUGCACUGGCGACAUAUAAUGAAACUGCAAAGUGAAAGACAGAAUUAAUAGAGAGAUUAAUGGCAACAUCUGUAUCACAUUACUUAUUGGAUGAGAGUGUUGAAGCUCCUCAUCAAAUUGAUGGAAUUAGUGGAGAAGUAUAUGCAAAAGCUAUUGAGAAGUUUGAGAACAAAGUGUCCAGAGCACUGUUUCUAAAGAUGCCAAAGCAUAGAAGAAUAGAUUGGUUGCUGAAUUUCAAGUGAAAAGUUUUGACUUUGUUUAGCUAUGAACUAGAAGACUCUGUUAGCUAUUAACUUUAGUUUUGUUUAGCUAUUGACUGGAUGAGUUUGUUUAGCUAUUGACUGGAUGACUUUGUUUAGAUAUUGACUAGAUGGCUUGUGUUAGCUUAUUUUUGUUUUAUGAUUUGAGUUGCAUUUUGUAAGUGUGCAAAUUUAAUUAAAUGUUUAGAUAUUUAAAUGGUUUGAGUCAGAGAUGACUUUGA